GCUUAAAUCAAACUCUAUAAAUUAGCUGGUAGUUUCUCUCACCUCACCUUGAACGCCAUGGAUCUCACUCCUGAUACUAUUGCCUUAUGGUGCAUCGAUUUUCGAGGCUUGUGCUAAUGCAGACGAGGCAAAAUUUAGGAGUGAACUCUUUUUCUUGAUUUCUUUGUCUUUGAUCUGUAUUCUUGUUCUGCGGUGUCUAAUUCUGAGAUUUUUUUUUCAUUUUUUGUUGUGUGAUCGCAGAGAUUAGUAGGCAGGUUUACGAUCCCACAGAUUUCAGGCAAAUAUGUGAUUCACACAUGGCCUUCUCCACUGGCGAGAAUGUCUUGCAUUACGCUGCUUCAUUGGGACAUUUGCACAUUUGCGAAGUCUUGAUUCAUAACGUCGGAGCUUAUAUCGAAGCCACUACUCAUAAGGGUUCUCUCUCUCUCUCUCUCAUGCUUCUUCUUCUGAUAUUUAUGUCUCUGGUAGUUUUAUUAAUUGGAUUUUUGAUUCUUGAUUGUUUGUUUAGGGGUUUCUUUUCUUUUGGACUCCACUUUGCACACCACUUAUUUGUUUUUUGGUAUAAGUGAAAUAUACUUCAGAUUGCUUUGUGGAACCAACUCUAUAAACUGCUUCAGGGGAUACUCCUCUGAUUGAAGCUGCCAAACAUGGACAGUACGAAAUUGCGGAUUAUCUUAUCCAGCAAGGUGCUGCAGUUGGUGCUUCCAAUGCAAAGGGAACCACUGCCUUGCAUUAUGCACUUUCAGAAGGUUGCUGGUCGAUUAUGGCAUUGUUGAUCAUAAGAGGUGCUCCUGUAAAUGCAGAUUCUGUUGAUGGAACACCUUUACAAAUUGCUGUAUACCUUAGAAGCGUUUCGCCUGUGAAGUAUCUGUUGUCUAAUGCCGCGAAGCCAUUUUUUUUGCAUGGAUUUGGAGUGCCCUCUUGCAUAUGCAGUCAAGGCUGAGUGGUUUGAAUGCUUGGGUUUUCUGCUUAAGGGUGAUUUGACAGUCGUUGAGGAGGCUGCUUUGGCGCGUAAUCGUGAAGCUGUUGAGAUUUUAUUUCCACUGAGUAAGCUGAUAGAAAGUUAUCCAGAAUGGAGUGUUGAUGGCAUACUGGAGUACUGUCAUUCUGAAAAAGCUAAAACAGAGAGAGAGGCGUAUAAGAGACGAUGCGUGGUUGCAAUGGGCAGGAUAGGGGACAGAGCAAUGGGCUUUAAGAGAUCAACAUUGCAGCCCUACAUUUUAAAAUAGCUACACAUCAUGAUCCAACUAACCCUACAUGGGCAUCAAAGCAGAGCCUGUGUAAUGCGCAUGCGAAUAGACGCACACUUGCUUUGUACGAUGUUGAAAGAUUCCUUAGAUUCAAGCUACGCAUGCCUGGCCCUCACCCUGGAGGCGCUGAUUCUGCGGCCUGGAUAUCCAAGAAUGCUGCGGCCUGGAUAUGCCUUUAUGGUGUAUCCUCUUGACGAUACCCUUUCUGGUGUGUUUAGGCUUAGUAUGUUUGAUGGCUUUGUUUGGUUGUAUAUGUUGAGCAGCCCGGAGGAGAUAAAGAAUUGUAGCCAAAAGGUUCUAGAACUUUCCAAGAAUUGAUUGUUUGAUGUGUAUAAGUUGGAUCCUACUCUUGCAAAUAUUGUUUCGGAUUCUUAAAUAAAUCUACUGUGUGGUCGUGGAUCGACCCAUCUAUUGUCCUUCA